UUGGAGUGCAUGGACGACCACUUGGUCCGCAGAAAGAUGGCAGAUAAAGGCUCUAAAAGCUCGAGCGAAUAGGAAUACAAAGCCAGGUGGCCCGAGUACCGGAUAUGCUCGACAUACAUCAGGAUCUCGAUCCAUUGUUGAGCACGCUAUGGAUCUGGAGCGUUCUUUAGAAAGACAACCCACUUGCUUGGAGAUCUUUCUCAAAACU